AUUUGUGAAUCAUCACUCCACAGAUCAUGGCAAUCGCCGCUAGAAGGCAUCCAGCGAUGAAGGCCAUGUUGAGAUUCAGGCCGGUUACUAAAACGCAAAGGACCCUGGGAAAUGAAGUGCGCUCCUGUUUCAAUUGCAGCCGAUCUCCUGCGCCGACCGAUGGGGUUGGUUGGGAGACAUCCCCUGGAGCAUCUGGUGUUGGGGUUCCCAGCCUCACAUAGAAUGACCGAACAGCUGAUGUACACCUGACCCAUAAUGAGAUAACCUGUCAAUACAUUGCCACAUUCAAGCUGUUCCUCAUUUACUCCUAUUUACUAAUUAUGUCCUACCUGGUCAUGUAAUCCUAUGAAUUUGAAGGCAUCGAUUGAAAACCGAAACUGUUUAUUAUGACUUGGGGGAUAGAGGACAACAGUGGAGUCCUGUACACACCUAGGUAAAAAGAAAGAGCAAAUAAAGAUUACAAUUAAAGAAAGAGUGCUGUCAAUAAAGAGUGCUGUCAAUCUA